GGCAGUGGCUCAGAGGUAGAGCAUCGCCUUGCCAAGGCGAGGGUCGCGGGUUCGAAUCCCGUCUGCC
rnacentral:tRNA from 2 species